rnacentral:rRNA from 1 species
AUCGAUGAAGAACGCAGCGAAAUGCGAUACGUAAUGUGAAUUGCAGAAUUCAGUGAAUCAUCGAAUCUUUGAACGCACCUUGCGCUCCCUGGUAUUCCGGGGAGCACGCCUGUUCGAGUGUCAUGAAACUCUCAAAUCAGAUUGACUUUAUUGUUUGAUCUUGAUUUGGAUUUGGACUCUGCUGUAGCCUGCUAAAGGCAUAGCUGGUCUUAAAAGUAUUAGCUGGCCCUCUUGAGGGAUUGGUUCUACUCGGCGUGAUAAUUAUCUAUCGUUGAGGACAUCUUGCUUGCAAGGUGGCCAAGCUUUCUUAGGACCGCUUCUAAUCGUCCCUUGGGGACAAUACAAACUUCAAAUCUGACCUCGAAUCAGGUGGGACUACCCGCUGAACUUAAGCAUAUCAAUAAGCGGAGGAAAAGAAACUAACAAGGAUUCCCCUAGUAACGGCGAGUGAAGCGGGAUGAGCUCAAAUUUAAAAUCUGGUAGUCUUUGGCUGCCCGAGUUGUAAUCUAGAGAAGCGUUUUCCGCGUUGGACUGUGUACAAGUUUCCUGGAUACGGAACAUCAUAGAGGGUGAGAAUCCCGUCCUUGACACAGACUCCCAAUGCUUUGUGAUGCGCUCUCGACGAGUCGAGUUGUUUGGGAUUGCAGCUCAAAAUGGGAGGUAAAUUCCUUCUAAAGCUAAAUAUUGGCGAGAGACCGAUAGCGAACAAGUACCGUGAGGGAAAGAUGAAAAGCACUUUGGAAAGAGAGUUAAACAGUACGUGAAAUUGUUAAAAGGGAAACGAUUGAAGUCAGUCGCGUCUGCUUGGACUCAGCCUUACCUCGGUUUGGUGCAUUUCCUUGUAGACGGGCCAGCGUCCAUGUUGAUCACUGGAAAAGGUGUGGGGGAAUGUGGCUCUUUCGGGAGUGUUAUAGCCCUUGCUCGUAUACGGUGAACGAUAUGGAGUGGUACAGCACGCUUCGGUGGUGCUUGUGCUGGCAUAAUGGCUUUAAACGACCCGUCUUGAAACACGG